rnacentral:rRNA from 1 species
AUGAUGGCCGGUCAUAGUUUAGUAAAGAUUUUAAGUGGGUUUGCUUGGACUAUGCUAUUUUUGAAUAAUAUUUUUCUAUUUCAUAGGAGAUCUUGGUCCCUUAAUUAUAAUUCUAGCAUUAACCAGUCUGGAAUUAGGUGUAGCUAUAUCACAAGAUCAUGUUUCUACGAUCUCAAUUUGUAUUUACUUGAAUGA